UUCCUCUCUGCCUCCACCUCUGAGACUGGUUCUUUUCCUGGCAGGAGAUAUUUACUGAGCAGGCGGACAAGCCAUACACUGAAGAACAGCUGCAGAGGAAAGGCUGGACCAGGUGUGCUGGGAGUCACCAGGAGCAAGGUGGUGAAGGUGAGUUUUCUCCUGAGCGCCUCACGGGACUCAUUAGCACCUCACCAUCUGCUGGGAACCAUCUUUACAAAUGUAAUUGUGCCUGUUGGGGAAAGACAGUAUUUUUUGUUCUUUUGUUUUGUUUGUUUGUUUGUUUUCUUAAAGACAGAAAAGUCUUUUUCAUUUUCUGAAACGCUUUCAAAUGUGCUCAACCUUUUCCAGUGGGUAGCAGAUCUCUUAAUUACAUCUUGGGCGGGUCCAAAAUUCUACCGUUGUUUUCGGGUAUUAACCCUCAGUCCACUUUAAAACAUCAAUUCCAAACUUGAUUCUACUCUCACCUCAUCUCCCAGCGCCACUGUCCUCCCCCAGUCCAGUGCAAGCUUGGACCUGGACCCUGAAUGAGGGAGUUCUAUUUCUGGGACACUCCCCUACUCUCGCUUUUCCUUUUGGGAACUAGUUCCUCUAGUGCACUGGGCUGAGAGGUAGGACAAAGAAAGGGCAGAGGGUCGUAAACUAACAGGGCAGCGGUAGCCUUCUCUCUAGUGGUGGCCCACUGGGACUGGCUGUGAGGCAGGCAUCAACAUGCUAGCUUUCUCUGGAAGACAUCUGGGUUCUUUUAGAGAGACUUGCAGGGCAGGGAUAUGGUAAAUCCAGGCUCAACCACCUCCAUGCCCCUCAACUCCCAUGACUGAAUAUGCACUCUACGGACUCUCUCAGCUCAAGCUCCCCGGUAAAUAGAGAGAGAACCCUGUUGGGGUAGGGAUAGAACAAAUCCAGCCACCUUCUAAGUAGUAUCCACUUGAACCGCAGGAAAUGCAUUUUCUGGCCCUGACCAACUGGGUGAGUUCAGACUGCCCCUGCAGCUCUUCUUUCCGCCCUUUCUUUUUUCUCCAAAACCCUCCUCUAUCGCUAAUGAUGUAUGAAUAAGCCAGAAAAUCCUUUUCCUAAUCAAAUGUCCAAUGGGCAGCUACUUUACAUCCCAAUAUUUGUGGAAUCAUUUUCUUAGAACCUUACUAGGGAGAAAGCACAGCCACCCCAUUACCCAUAACCGCAGGAAGGGCAGCAAGUCUCCACUCCUCACACGUCCUGCGCUCUGGUGACCCUUAGACUUACUUCUCUCUCUCCCUCCUCCCCAGUCUCACUGGGUAGAAGGUGGAGUUGGCAGUAACACAGCCACAUAUGUCACCUCUUAGGAAUCCUUGGUUCUCAGCUCUGGUGGGUGUCAGCUCAGGCAGAGUACUUCUCUGUCCUCACUCUUGGGUCCUGGAAGCCUCCACAGAAAGGGUCUCCAUUCAUAGCUUGUUGCAUGUUUAGAGUAGUUGAAGUUCCACUUCCAGAGCUCUUCAUUCUUUGUGUAGAGCCAGAUUUUUAUCUGGUAUCAUUGUCCUUCUGCUUGAAGGACACCCCUUAACAUUUCUUAUCGUAUAGGUCCUCAGGGGGGUCUUUUUUUUUGCUUUUGUAUGUUUGAACAGUCUUUUGCAUUUGUUUUUGAAAGACAUUUUUGCUGGGUAUAGAAUUUUAGGUUAGUGGCCAUUUCAUGUGAAAGACCAAAAAAAAAAAAAAGUAGAAUUCUAGGUUGACAAUAU
ensembl:lncRNA